rnacentral:rRNA from 1 species
UACGUAGGGAGCAAGCGUUGUUCGGAUUUACUGGGCGUAAAGGGCGCGUAGGCGGCAUGGCAAGUGGAAGGUGAAAUCCCUCGGCUCAACUGAGGAACUGCCCUCCAAACUGCUUUGCUUGAGUCCGGGAGAGGUGAGUGGAAUUCCCAGUGUAGCGGUGAAAUGCGUAGAUAUUGGGAGGAACACCAGUGGCGAAGGCGACUCACUGGACCGUAACUGACGCUGAGGCGCUAAAUCGUGGGUAGCAAACUUU